UCCGGAAUCAUGCAAGAAAUCCAAACAUGUUGGUCGCUAAAAUGUAUGAGAACAUCAUCACAAAUAUUUGAGACAUGAGAAAAUUAAUCCAUCCACUUUAAAUCAUAACUAAACAUACAUUCGAAAUUGCACGAUCCCAGACAAAACAGAACAGAAAAAAAACACAUACAUAUAAAGUGUUACAUAGCACGAGAAAAGCAUUUUUGGUACAUCACAGACAACACUAAGUAUGAAGGACUAAAGAAAGCACCGAUAUCCACUGAACAAGCUUGCCAUUAGAAUUUGCAUUAGGUUUUGCUCUGUUGAUGGUAUACAACAGAAAAGCUACAGCCUUUUGCCUCCCGUAUUAGUGCCUCUUGCCUAUCAAUCUUCUUGUCCUGGGAGACGUCAGACCUAGCAAAUGAGAUUCAGUUAGCACAAGACCAUGCAAGUGUCAUGCAUUCGUACUUAAUUUUUUUAAUCAUCAUUAUAUAAUGAAAUGAAUAUGCAUGAAUAAUACCAUUUGAUUGUUUGCUGCACAUACCAGAUGGAAGAAAAAUUAGAGACAAAUUCAACGCAAAACACAACCUAAAUGCGUCUAUGCUGGACAGAGAAAGCUACUGGACAGUUUAAUCACUUAAGAGCAGUCAUGAGUUCGAGAAGAAUAAUAAUACCUAUAACCAGUGAACCACAAAAUGGUUAUUUUUCUUUUCACAUGAUGAUGAGCUCUCACAGAACUUUAAUCUACCUCUGUUGAUGGAAGCAUGUGAGGAAUUUCAGCAACUAAAGGAAUCUUCAAAGCUAGAAGUGCAAACCUCUACUGUUGUGUCAUUUGUUUCUUAGAGCAUGUCCUUGCAUCGUGGAACGCCACUUCCUUACAAAUGCGACAUUUGCGUGCGACCUUUUGAUGGAUUCCAGGCCUUCUUUUCUUCUCGCCCGACCCACUCCUCACAGCAUCCCUGUGUCCCUUUAUUAUAGAGCAAGUGCCCCUUGCAUUGAUAUCAGUAGGUGUGUGGAUGGUAACGUGCUUUGGAAUGAUGCUCCGUUGCUCCCGAUAAAUGACUCCUCAUUUUCGUGUGUGUUGUAUGCUACAGCUGGUACAAGCUGGGCUAAAGCCAUCUCAGCGUUGCACAAACUGGUGUGCAAGAAUUCAAUUCCUUCCAUUGAACUUUUAGAAUUCCGUAUGAGAUCUUCUAGCUUGUUUCUAACGAGAGCUAUCUUCCUUUUCAUAGCCAUGUCAACCGGGUCAAUUAAAUUCUCUUCAAGCAUGUUCCCUUCCCUAUCGAAGACAAUGUCCCUAGCAACGUGAAACAUAUUACAUCAUGAUGUGUGUCAAGGUAGAUAAGUAUAAAUGCUUCUACAUCUACGUGAAGAGAAAUAUACCUUUUGCAAUUUCUCUCCCACCGCUUAAGAACAUAAAUUCUUGGCAAUUCAUUAUUUUCACACCCCUCAUAAAUUGUUAGAUUGAUGGAUGUUUUGUCCUUAGUAAUUUCUUUUAGCUCUCUGUAUGUAUAACAUAUUGUGUUGCUAGUGGGUUAGCUAUUGUACUGCUCGCCUUUGCCUAAAAAUCAUUGUAAGCUUCCAAGAUACUGUUAGUCGGACGAUUAAAAUAUAUCAUUUUCACAAAAUGUUCAUAUGCUUGCCAUUCAUAUCAUUUCCAAAGAUCCAGAAUUUUUUAAUCUUACCCUAGAGGAUACAACAUAUGCUCCAAGCACUAUUUUAAAGCAAAGAGUACUUUCAGAUAUCUAUGCUAAAAUAUUAUGUACUUCUAAAUAAACAUGACAUGAUACAGAAUUGUGCUUGGAUUUUGCAGUAAGAGUUGACAAAAAUGAUUUCCUAACAUAAUAUUAUGUACUGCAAGUACUCUUUACGCCGAAGAAGUCUGGAAGUACUAAUAUUAUGUAUGCCAUAGAUGACAUGUACAAGCACAAGUAUUUGGUACUUUCAGACUUUCACACUGUCCAAGCACUAGUCUGAAAUUUCGCAUUUUCAGACCGUCCAAGCACAAGUCUGAAAGUCUGAAUUUUGGUACAAGCACAAGUAAUUUUCAGACUGUCAUCUUUGUUAAUGUUAUCUUGUAGACUGUCAGUCUAAAAGUAUGAAAUUUGGUACAAGCACAAGUACUUCCAGAAUGUCAAAGCACAAGUCUGAAAGUCUGAAAUUUUACUCCGUGGAGUACUUUCAAACUGUCCAAGCACAAGUCUGAAAUUUGGUACAUAACAUUUGCAGAAUGCUUGGUACUUUCAGUCUGAACUCCAAGCACAAGUCUAUUUUCAGGACAUUUACUUUUUCGACUUACAUGUCAUAAAAUUUUGUCCAUAAUAUCAUGUUCUUGUUUGUGAGGAGUAGAUGACAUGCACAGUUUGCAGUAAAAGUUGAACAAAAGUGAUUUCCUAAAUAAAUGCUACAGAAUCAAGUAUGCAAAUUGGUACCAACCUUUCAGACAAGCAUACCUGAAGACUGAAGAUUUCUUCUUCGACGUUUCCAGAUGGCGGAGCUAGACGCGGGGGUGUGGGCAACGUGUGGAGAAUGGGCUGGUGGGGUAGGAGAAAGAAUGGAGUGAGGUUUUUCUCUGGAGGUCAGAGCAGAGUACCUUGGAGAUCCGCACAAGGUCUCGGCUUCGAACAAGGGAGGUCUGUCGGGGCCGCCAAAACACCGGCGAGAGGACGGUCGAGGAUGUGGAUCUGGACCUCCGCCGGGCUCAAUCGGCCAGCUAGGCACCGGAUCUCGCCCGUCGCCACCGUCGGCA
rnacentral:lncRNA from 1 species